rnacentral:rRNA from 1 species
UGCCCUUAACGUCUGGGAGUACCAUUUGGUAAACAGAUGCUAAUACCGGAUAAAAGACUACUUUCGUCAUGAAAGAAAGUUUAAAAGGUACGGCGUAAGCUGUCGCUAAAGGAAUGGACAUGCGAUGCAUUAGCUAGUUGGUAAGGUAACGGCUUACCAAGGCGAUGAUGCAUAGCCGAGUUGAGAGACUGAUCGGCCACAUUGGGACUGAGACACGGCCCAAACUCCUACGGGAGGCAGCAGCC